rnacentral:lncRNA from 1 species
CGUGCUCACACACAGCGGGGUUCUUUUCGGCCAGCCCCAGAGUAUUUUAAGUACGGAGUGGAGGGGCUGAGGGGAUGAGUUGCGAGGUGACUCAUCCUGGCAGCAGAAGCAGUGUGCACUGCAGAAGCAAAUGGCUCCGCGAUGGGCUGAGUGGAAAGCAGCUCCGAUGUAGAUGUACAGUUCUGCGGUCGGAGGACUUGGGAAAGGCUGGGGACCGGUCAACGUGGCUGGAGUGGAAGUGGACAAGAGGCAGGGUUGAAUACCCUCACCAUCUAUCCCAGAAGAACUCCUGAUUAGUCCACAGGGUGUCACUCUGCUUUAUAAUGGAUGCCUCAUGGUUACCAGAGAAACUAUUCUCUGAGACAGCUCCGGUUUCAGACACCUUGUGUGGGCAAAUGGGCGACUGAUAGGCACCACCCUCCAUUGCUUUCAUUUGUGGUCUUUUUGACACUUUUCUGUAUCCCUGGGUCUGAGAAUGAAUCCAUGACGGAUGAAAAUAACAAGCAGUGACCCCCGUAGUCUAAGGAUCAAGACUCUGGUAAUCCGGAUGGUCCAGAAGUUCAGACAAGAAGGUCAGAAGCUCGAAGUCAUCUUCUGCUGCUUAGUGAGUCUGAGGCUAGCCUAGGCUACACGAGACCUUGCCUCAAAACCCCAACGAGAGCUUUUUAACCUAGGUCCCCUGGAGAGUUGGAGGACCAGGAUGCUGCUUGACUUGGAAACUGGAAGAUAAUUUUCUGCUGUUCAGUUUCUGAAGUGACGAGUUCACAAGACCUUAGCGAGACAAGCUAAGGUUCUCCGUCUCCUUCCAUUUCAGUGUGUACGGUGGAGGUGGCCACAGCAGAGAGAAAACGACACAUAGAGAACGGUGUUCUGGCAAAACAGAGAUGAGUGGUGUCGCCAACGAAUCAUGACUCACCCACACGUUUGGGAGACCCGUGGGUUACUGGUACCAACUCGUGAUGGAGCUUUUGGACCACCUAAGCUGGCUCCUUUGUAUCCCAAGUCAGGGGUGAAUUGAAUGAUUUCCUUCAGAGGCAUCUUCUCAGUUUUAAAAAUAAAGUCGUUAGCCUGAGUUUGAAUUUCAGUGGUAGAGCACUUGUCUAGAUGCACAUGUAGACUCAGCCACCAGAAGUAAGGAUGAGGGUCUGUAAGUAGUGUCAUGGUAGCCCCAGGUACGGUACCUUUUUCAAAAUAAAUAUAUAUAAAUUC